UUAGUCGGGGGGCCAUCAGGCUGAGAUCACUGAAAAGUGGGACCCGUUGAACCUGAACCAGUUAAUACUGGCGGAGGGAACUA
rnacentral:ncRNA from 1 species